rnacentral:rRNA from 1 species
GCGCAGCAGGCGCGAAUACUUUACAAUGCUGGCAACAGCGAUAAGGGAACCUCGAGUGCCAGGUUACAAAUCUGGCUGUCGAGAUGCCUAAAAAGCAUUUCAUAGCAAGGGCCGGGCAAGACCGGUGCCAGCCGCCGCGGUAACACCGGCGGCUCGAGUGGUAACCGUUAUUAUUGGGUCUAAAGGGUCUGUAGCCGGCCGGAUAAGUCUCUUGAGAAAUCUGGCAGCUUAACUGUCAGGCUUUCAGGAGAUACUGUCUGGCUCGAGGCCGGGAGAGGUGAGAGGUACUUCAGGGGUAGGGGUGAAAUCUUGUAAUCCUUGAAGGACCACCAGUGGCGAAGGCGUCUCACCAGAACGGACCUGACGGCAAGGGACGAAAGCUAGGGGCACGAACCGGAUUAGAUACCCGGGUAGUCC